rnacentral:rRNA from 1 species
UGAGAGUUCAAGAGUACGUGAAACCGCUUAGAGGCAAACGGGUGGACCCGCAAUACGUCGACCCGGGGGAUUCAACCAGGCCGUUGGGCACGGGACGCGCGGGGGUUUUGCUGAGCUGUAAAGCCAGUGCCUUCGCGUGGGUCUCCGGGCGGACUGGUGCACUUUCCUCGGGUCGAUUGCCACGACCGGCUCUCCGUGCGGCCAAAAGCCUGUCGCUGGGAAGGUGACCGACGGCCUCCGUGCCGGCGGUGUUAUAGCCCAGCUCGUUCGUUGUGCUCGUCGGAGGGCCGAGGAAGUGUUGCCGCCUCUCAAUCACCCUCCGGCCAUCCUUGCUCGUCACGACUGGGGUGGACUGCUUCGUCAGUGCUCUCCCGACCGCGAGCGUAGGAAGGGUUGGAACGGUGCGAGAAGCUUCGGGCCAGUGGCGAAUCGGUCGGUCCUCCACCCGACCCGUCUUGAAACACGGACCAAGGAGUCUAACAA